rnacentral:rRNA from 1 species
AUUGAACGCUGGCGGCAUGCCUUACACAUGCAAGUCGAACGGCAGCACGGGUGCUUGCACCUGGUGGCGAGUGGCGAACGGGUGAGUAAUACAUCGGAACAUGUCCUGUAGUGGGGGAUAGCCCGGCGAAAGCCGGAUUAAUACCGCAUACGAUCCACGGAUGAAAGCGGGGGACCUUCGGGCCUCGCGCUAUAGGGUUGGCCGAUGGCUGAUUAGCUAGUUGGUGGGGUAAAGGCCUACCAAGGCGACGAUCAGUAGCUGGUCUGAGAGGACGACCAGCCACACUGGGACUGAGACACGGCCCAGACUCCUACGGGAGGCAGCAGUGGGGAAUUUUGGACAAUGGGCGAAAGCCUGAUCCAGCAAUGCCGCGUGUGUGAAGAAGGCCUGCGGGUUGUAAAGCACUUUUGUCCGGAAAGAAAUCCUUGACUCUAAUACAGUCGGGGGAUGACGGUACCGGAAGAAUAAGCACCGGCUAACUACGU